UACAGAGGUCUCAAGCGUUGUUCGGAUUCAUUGGGCGUAAAGGGGUGCGUAGGCGGCGCGGUUAAGUCGGGUGUGAAAUCUUGGAAGCUUCGAACUCCGAAACUGCAUUCGAUACUGCCGUGCUUGAGGACUGGAGAGGAGGACUGGAAUUACGGUGUAGCGGUGAAAUGCGUAGAUAUCGUAAGGAAGACCAGUGGCGAAGGCGGGUCUCUGGACAGUUCCUGACGCUGAGGCACGAAGGCCAGGGGAGCAAACGGG
rnacentral:rRNA from 1 species